UGAACCGGAAGCCGGGUUA
rnacentral:snRNA from 1 species